UGGUUGAGUCCAGUGUGCCAGUGAAGCAAGGGCACGCAUGCAUGUUUUCAUCAGACUGUGGUGACGAUAUGGCGAGAUUCUUACAAACAAACUUUAGAAAUGUAUUCGCCAGGCAGUUAAGGAUGUCAUCCGAUCAGGUAGGGGGAACGUUUGGAAAGAAGCAAGCAACGAAGGAGGAGAUGUACUUUAAGCGUAAAGAGAAGGAACAGCUAGCUUCUCUGAAGCAGCACCACCAGGAAGAGAUAGACCAUCACAAGAAGGAGAUAGACCGGCUGCAGCAAGAGAUCAAACGCCACGAAGGGAAAAUCAAAGAACUGAAAGGCUGAAUGUGGUUAUACAAAAAUGUUGGGAGCUCCUUGUGCCUGGACUCUUGCUUGUGAUGCAUGAUGUUCCCUACCUGAUUGUAACUUCAAUGUACAUAUGGAUUAUUAAAAUGAUUGGUUGAGCUAAA